rnacentral:rRNA from 1 species
UGCGCAGGCGGGCUUGUAAGUCAGUGGUGAAAUACUGCCGCUUAACGGUAGAACUGCCAUUGAUACUGCAAGUCUUGAAUAUGGUUGAGGUAGGCGGAAUGUGUCGUGUAGCGGUGAAAUGCAUAGAUAUGACACAGAACGCCAAUUGCGAAGGCAGCUUACUAAGCCAUUAUUAACGCUGAGGCACGAAAGCGUGGGGAGCGAACAGGAUUAGAUACCCUGGUAGUCC